UCAGUUGUUUCUUUCUUCCUCUUCUUUUCCCUGCUUCCCUUUUCUCUUCUCCCACGAUUGAAGCUCCCAUUUUCUCUUCCUCUCCCCUUUUCUUCCUCUCUCCUCCAUUGCUCUUCUCUUCUCUGCUACAUGAUUUCACCCAUCAAUAUCCUCCUUCUCCUCCUAACCUGAUUCUUUCGGCCCAUCGAUUUCCCUCUCCUCCUCCCCUGCUCCUUUCUCUCUCCUCUGCCCUAGGGCUUCUGUUAAAGCAAACCACAAACGUACUUCAUCCCCGUCCUUUUGCAAGGAUUUUGGAGUUGCGGAAGCAAAUCAGUUGACUGAAUUCAGAGUGAGUAGUUGAUUGUGUGUGAAAAGUUUUUAGUGGCAGAUUCAACAUCUAAGCUAAAGUUGAACUCCAAACUUCUCCAGGACUCAAUAGUUGGUUCGGUAAAUGCAAAUCCCAAAGAUGGAUGGAAGGUUGGCAUGAACAAGCAAUUAUCCGACUAUAUAGAUAUUAAGAGGGAGCGUUGGGUUCUCACUGUCGAAGGAAGACUCUAUGCUAUUGCAGGCUCUCCUGAAAUGCAAGUAGACUCAGCUAUACCACAAGAGAGUAUCUCUCCAGAUGAACUUCAGAGAAAGGUGGACCCUUAUGCUUUUAUGAUUGGAUUCCGCUAUUCUACAACGACAACGAUAAAAACAAAACAAAUCAUGAAAAGUGGAAAAGAUUCAGAAAAGCGAGAACAGAAUUGAAGCUUCCGUUGGAAAGAAGUUAAAGAAUGAUAUGCUUCCUGAUAUUGAGAAGAUUCACACGUUUUUUUUAUCUCUCUGGUUUCGAUGAAUGGUUUGGCUUUGGGUUUAACAAAAGAACGAAAGGAAAUGAAACCCAUGAAGCUGAGAUAGAGGUCUAAGGCGAGCGCUUGAUCCCUCUUUGUGCAAGGACAGUCUUAUCUUUAGCCUGCCAGACCUUCAACAAUGGUUUCGAAUCUGUCGUACCAUGAAACUCGAUUAAACCCAUGUGUUGCGGCGUUGCGCUACCGUCAUUAGAUGAUGAUCUUGAUCUGGGUGUUAUUAAGAAAUUCCUUCGAUCCAGAGUUGUUUUAAGAGAUUAAUGAUAUAUAUGGAGGGAAGUUGAUCUCAUCUCAAAAAUCAAAGCAAAGUUGGCUUUUUCCCUGGAAAAAAAAAAAGAAGCAAAGUUGGCUUUUUCCCUGGAAAAAAUAAAAGAAGCAAAGUUGGCUUUCAUAGUGUCUGUGCUAUGCCUAUGGAGUAAAUUGAAGGUAAUUGCUGAAAUGACCAUGGAGGUGUGGACAGAAAUGUUGAAUGCACUGGAAAUAGUUAAUUCAUCACAUCCACUUUUGAAUGUGUUCAUGACGGUUGAGGUGUUGUUCUUGUUGUUGUCCGGUUGUCCCCAACAAAAGACUCAUCAAACUUUUCAGAAACUAUAAGCCUCACACUGAAGAAGUACAUGAACAAGAAAUUCAUUACACUUAAGUCUCUUUCGAGGAUAUCAACAAGGCUUUUGACCUCAUGUUGAAGGGUGAAAGCAUCAAAGUAUUAGGUGCAUUAUCUACAUGGAUGCUUGAAGUGGGAAAUGGUGCCCUACCUAUGAGUGAAAUAUCUAUUAAAGUAGUCUGUUCUCUUUCAUCUUACCUUAGAUGUAUAUCUAUGAGUUCUCUCCAUAGUACGAGCGUCUAAAUUCCGUAUAUCACAAUCGAGGACGCGACAAUAUAAUUACAGGCUUUUGUUAUUCUUUAUUAGUUCUCUAAUUAUCAGUUGUAAAAUUUAUGGCUUUUCUGAAGGAUGAUUUCAUUAAUAUUUUAUCUAAGAAGAUUUUACAAUAACAAUUGUCGAGAGUUUAAUGUUGCACGUGGAUGCUAAGAUUUCUAUGAGACUUAUAUUGUAAACGUAUUUAUGAUUCAUUUUAUUAAUUACAUGCGUAUCGACUUUGACAUUGUUUUUC